rnacentral:rRNA from 1 species
AUUGAACGCUGGCGGCAGGCCUAACACAUGCAAGUCGAACGAGUGGCGGACGGGUGAGUAAUGUCUGGGAAACUGCCUGAUGUAGGGGGAUAACUACUGGAAACGGUAGCUAAUACCGCAUACCAGCGGAUGUGCCCAGAUGGGAUUAGCUAGUAGGUGGGGUAAAGGCUCACCUAGGCGACGAUCCCUAGCUGGUCUGAGAGGAUGACGACCCAAACUGGAACUGAGACACGGUCCAGACUCCUACCUCGCCCAUCAGGAUAAAGUAUUGCAUAAUGGGCGCAAGCCUGAUUCAGCCAUGCCGCGUGUAUGAAGAAGGCCUUCGGGUUGUAAAGUACUUUCAGCGGGGAGGCGUUACCCGCAGAAGAAGCACCGGCUAACUCCGUGCCAGCAGCCGCGGUAAUAC